AACGAACGCUGGCGGCGCGCCUAACACAUGCAAGUCGAGCGGUUCCCGCAAGGGAGCAGCGGCGGACGGGUGCGAAACACGUGGGUAAUCUACCUCUCGAUUCGGGAUAACCUGUCGAAAGACGAGCUAAUACCGGAUAAGCGUACGCGGUCGAAUGACCGAGUGCGAAAAGGCGCAAGCCGGCGAGAGAUGAGCCCGCGGCCCAUCA
rnacentral:rRNA from 1 species